GGGAGCUGCAGGGCCUGCAGGGAAACGAGGGUUUAAGGGGCGUAAAGGCCCAACAGGACUUCAGGGACUUCAGGGACCACCAGGACCAACGGGAUUUCCUGGACCCACCGGGGUCGAUGGCGUCAUGGGGGACCAAGGCAGGCAAGGAAGAGACGGAUUUAAGGGCGAUCGAGGACCAACCGGUGUUCAAGGAAGUCCUGGACCUCGAGGAAACAAGG